AACGAACGCUGGCGGCAGGCUUAACACAUGUAAGUCGAGCGCCCCGCAAGGGGAGCGGCAGACGGGUGAGUAACGCGUGGGAAUCUACCCAUCUCUACGGAAUAACGCAUGGAAACGUGUGCUAAUACCCUAUACGCCCUUCGGGAGAAAGAUUUAUCGGAGAUGGAUGAGCCCGCGUUGGAUUAGCUAGUUGGUGGGGUAAAGGCCUACCAAGGCGACGAUCCAUAGCUGGUCUGAGAGGAUGAUCAGCCACACUGGGACUGAGACACGGCCCAGACUCCUACGGGAGGCAGCAGUGGGGAAUAUUGGACAAUGGGCGCAAGCCUGAUCCAGCCAUGCCGCGUGAGUGAUGAAGGCCCUAGGGUUGUAAAGCUCUUUCACCGGUGAAGAUAAUGACGGUAACCGGAGAAGAAGCCCCGGCUAACUUCGUGCCAGCCGCCGCCGUAAAAC
rnacentral:rRNA from 1 species